ACGAACGCUGGCGGCGUGCUUAACACAUGCAAGUCGAACGAAAAGAGGGAAAGAGCUUGCUCUUUCCGGAAUUGAGUGGCAAACGGGUGAGUAACACGUAAACAACCUGCCUUCAGGAUGGGGACAACAGACGGAAACGACUGCUAAUACCGAAUAAGUUCCAAGGGCCGCAUGGCCCAUGGAAGAAAAGGUGGCCUCUACCUGUAAGCUAUCGCCUGAAGAGGGGUUUGCGUCUGAUUAGCUGGUUGGAGGGGUAACGGCCCACCAAGGCGACGAUCAGUAGCCGGUCUGAGAGGAUGAACGGCCACACUGGAACUGAGACACGGUCCAGACUCCUACGGGAGGCAGCAGUGGGGAAUCUUCCGCAAUAGGCGAAAGCCUGACGGAGCAACGCCGCGUGAGUGAUGACGGCCUUCGGGUUGUAAAACUCUGUGAUCCGGGACGAAAAGGCAGAGUGCGAAGAACAAACUGCAUUGACGGUACCGGAAAAGCAAGCCACGGCUAACUACGUG
rnacentral:rRNA from 1 species